UCUGGGAAUUAAAGACUCUUGUUGCAUGGAAUCAAAUAUCCUAGAGGUGAAAGAGACCUUAAGAGUUAGGUCCCUUCCAUUUUAAGCAUGAGUCAAUUAAGGAAGGCUGGAUGAUUUGUCCCAGGCCUUAUAGCAAUCCUGUGGGGAGAACUCUCAGCCCAUAAAGAGCAGGGAUGCAUCUGUUGGCAACACACAGAGUUUGGCUCUCUCAUUGCCAGACUAAGCCAAGUUCUCAGAACAAAUAACCAGUCUUCCCCAAAGAGAAACGUAAGUCCUUGAGGAAUAGAAAACAGCAACUAUUUUUCUACCUCCACACGAUCAUGCCCUAGUCUCAGCUCUUUGCAGAAAUUAGGGCCUGCAACUGGUAAUACGCCCAAGGCUUCUAACUCUCCUGAGGUCUGCAUGGCAUUUAGGACCCAGGAAUAAAAAGACACUAGUGUUUGUCCCCAGUACCCGCCCCAAGACCUACUGAUGGCCCAGUUUAACACUGUUUCACAUAAACUGUCAUCAUAAUUAAAUCCCAAUGCAUUUUGCACAUUUUACCAAGAUACCGCCUUACCAUA